AUUGAACGCUGGCGGCAUGCCUUACACAUGCAAGUCGAACGGUAACGGGCCUUCGGGUGCCGACGAGUGGCGAACGGGUGAGUAAUACAUCGGAACGUGCCCGAUCGUGGGGGAUAACGAGGCGAAAGCUUUGCUAAUACCGCAUACGAUCUACGGAUGAAAGCAGGGGACCGCAAGGCCUUGCGCGGACGGAGCGGCCGAUGGCAGAUUAGGUAGUUGGUGGGAUAAAAGCUUACCAAGCCGACGAUCUGUAGCUGGUCUGAGAGGUUGAUCAGCCACACUGGGACUGAGACACGGCCCAGACUCCUACGGGAGGCAGCAGUGGGGAAUUUUGGACAAUGGGCGCAAGCCUGAUCCAGCCAUGCCGCGUGCAGGAUGAAGGCCUUCGGGUUGUAAACUGCUUUUGUACGGAACGAAAAGCCUUCUUUUAAUACAGGAGGGUCAUGACGGUACCGUAAGAAUAAGCACCGGCUAACUACGUG
rnacentral:rRNA from 1 species